CGCUGAGAGCGAUCGCUGCAGCGAUGGAGGGGUAUGCGGGCAGGCUGGCACUCGGUGGUUAAGCCUGUGGCCUCUGGCGCCGUGAGUCUGAAUCCGAGUCUCGGCUCUUCCACUUACUAGCUGUGUUACCAUGGGUAAGGUGCCCAUCCUUAAUUUGUCCGUCUGCAAAAUGAAGAUGAUAUCUUAGUGUUGUUGCGGAUUCAUGUGAGAUAACGCAUGUAAGCGAGGGCGCGGUAGUUGUAGCGUUCACUAUUUACGAGAGAAAAGGCGCUUCCCAGAGAGAGAGAGAAACGCUGAAGGGGUGGAAGGUAGAGAGGCCAGAUGUUCAGAUGUGACCAGGCUCCCCACCCAGUGAAGAUCAAGGUGAUGACAGGAAGCAAAUCUGGGGCAGCUUGGCCUGCAGAGCAAGCCCCAUACUGUCUGAGGUUUCUGGGAAGGUUGCUAAGGGCACAUGGGAAUGUGGAAUGUAGCUCCCGUUUUGUCCACACAUUAGGGGCUCAACAAGCUUAUAAGAAAUUAGCAGUUUUACAAAGGCCAAGGACCAGAAGAAUAUGUUCAGUAUUCCAGAUAAGGCAGGAUGGGGUUUUCACUGGAUCAGCUCAGGCUUUUCCUUCUGUCAACUCAGAGGCUCCAAUAAAGUCUUGGAUCUUUACCCUGAACCAGUCAAGGAUUUGGGGUUACUGGUGGGAAUCAGGGUAUAUAACUCUGGUGGAGUAGUCACUGGCAAAAGAAUAGAUUGGGAGAAGGAUGUUACUAGCGGAAA